AGAGUGAACGCUGGCGGUAGGCCUAACACAUGCAAGUCGAACGGCAGCACAGUAGGAGCUUGCUCUUACGGGUGGCGAGUGGCGGACGGGUGAGGAAUACAUCGGAAUCUACCUUUUGGUGGGGGAUAACGUAGGGAAACUUACGCUAAUACCGCAUACGCCCUUCGGGGGAAAGCCGGGGACCAGCAAUGGCCUGGUGCUGAUAGAUGAGCCGAUGUCGGAUUAGCUAGUUGGUGAGGUAAUGGCUCACCAAGGCGACGAUCCGUAGCUGGUCUGAGAGGAUGAUCAGCCACACUGGAACUGAGACACGGUCCAGACUCCGUACGGGAGCAGCAGUGGGGAAUAGUUGGACAAGUGGGCG
rnacentral:rRNA from 1 species